AGCGCUGCCUUCGUGUAUCUCUGCUGAAGUUCUGGCAAGCAGCAGGGUUUUUAUUGAGUGAGGCUUGGUGAGGACAGAGGCACUUCCCCAGCGUGGAGAUUUAUUCCCUUUUGGCUGCCUUCCACCUACUUCUACCACCAAGGCUGCCCCCACCCUUGGGAGCCCGUGUUCCCUCCCGGUGCUGCCCCUCUCGUUUCCUUCUCCUCCUGCCCACACACCGAUGGGAGGACUAGGAGUGCUCACAGCCACAGUGUGUGGUGCCUGACAAAUGGGUCUCCUCAGACUCCUUAAGAAAUAAGUGAGAAAAUUCUUCUUUGGAUGCUUCCCUCCCCUCUGCCCUCAGCGGACAGGUGGGUGGUCUCCCUCCCUGCUCCUGCAGCCCUCUGAGCACCAUCACCUGCACUGCCUCUUCCCCCAGUCUCCAAAUUUCUUGCUUUCAAGCCCACUCACCACGUCUCUUUCCUUCAAGUAUGCUUCUUUCAGAAGUCCUUCUGAUAGCUUCUUCUCAUUAUCGUAAUGAACAAUUAGAGAGUGAAUCUGUUAAUGUAAUUUCUAUGUUCUUUCUCCUUGGCUUUGAGCAGCAUGGGUUAUACCUCUGCUCUGUGAAUGCAGCAUGCCCCAGCUUUUCAAAGAAUGGGGAAAUAUUCAAAGGUGCCUAAAAACAUCCAUCCUUCUGGCUUUGAGACUAUUUAAUUUUUUAGAGGAGAUUAUUAUGGCUGGCUGCAAAAGAGGGUAAAGUAAUCAAUUAAAAAAAAAAAAAAAGAUGACUGAGGGCUAUUAUUUCCUCUUCUAGGAGGAAAGCAAACAGGGGCACUGAAACCAAAAACAUCUGAAUUUUCAGUUGGUAUAUAGAGCUUGCUGGAUGCCUCCGUCCACCCCUGGUGAGGGAAGGAUUGUCUGCCUGAAAGCUUCAUCUCCAGCAGAGCUCUGCUUAACUGAGGCACCAAAACUACCUGUGAUGCUAGUGUGCAUUGAACAAAUGUUUAAAAUAAGAGAGCCAAAAGGAGGCAGUCCACCCCAAGCUGCCUUCAAAAGCAAAGAUCCUGCAAUCAGAAGCAGUAGCUCUUUGAGAGCUGAAGGGAGAUGUGAGGGAGGAAGCAGAGAGCUGUGAAUGAUGGAUGCCAGCUAGGUGUGGCUUUAAAAAAUGCCAGCAGGAAUGCCUCUUGGCAGUGCUUGCGUGACAGAAGCUGCUGAGAUUGGGCACAUGUCUGACAAUCUGAGGUUGUCACCUCUGUCUCAUGGACAUCAUGCACCCAAGGAUGAAGCUAUUCAUAGAUGUUCAUCCAGUUCUGGGUCCCCCAGCACAAGAGAGAGAUGGAGCUAUGGGAACAAGGCCAACCAAGAGCUGCAAAAAUGAGUAAGCUGCUGGAGCAUCUUCCCUAUGAAGAAAGACUGAGAGAGUGAUCUCUCCUGGUUCCUCACCCCAUGUUCUUCACUGAUCAGACCCAUUGGUGAUUAGAUGCUCAGCAGAAGUGAUUUUGCAGCCUUUGACACCUUGCAUCCCCUGCUGCCUGGAUUUCAAAGAGAGAAAAGCAACUUCUGGAUUACCUCAAAUGCACUGGCAACAUAAGUAGCAACAGAUUUCCAGACGAAGAAGCUUGUGUGGAGCAAGUUAAAUGGAAACUUCCAGGCUCUCAAGUCUGAUGACUGUUCCUGGUACAAAGGAGAGCUCACGUGAAAAUGUUUGAGAGCUUUGUAGCACUGCGUCUACAUCCUGAGCUGGCUCCUGAGAUAAAUAGAGAGCUAAUGAAGAUUUUGGAGGGCUAACACAGUAUGCUCUCCACAGCUCCUGCCUCCUGGGAGGGAAGUGUGUGCUGCACCUGCUGGAGCUGUCUGGAAGUGUUGCUGCACGUGGGCUUUACUACAGCAACACUGCUGAUGGCAUUGUGUGAAUAACUACCUGCAGCAUGCAUAGCUCUGCUAAACACAACCAAGGUGCCACUGGCCAUCCAUCCUCAGGCUGUC